rnacentral:rRNA from 1 species
GACGAACGCUGGCGGCGUGCUUAACACAUGCAAGUCGAACGGACAGGCCCUGCUUUUGUUUCUUGCUCGUUAGCCGAACAGGGGAGUAACACAUGAGUAACCUGCCCUUGUCUUUGUGAUAACUUUAGGAAACUCCGGCUAUUACCGGAUAUAAUCUCCUGCUGCAUGGUGUGGGUUGGAGAGUUUCGGCGGUUGUGGAUGGACUGGCGGGUUAUCCGCUUGUUGGUGUGGUAGUUACUGACCAAGGCUUUGACGGGUAGCCGGCAUGAGAGGGGUACCGGCGACAUGGGGACUGCGAUACGGAGCAGACGCGUAUGGGACGCAGUAGUGGGGAACAUGGCAGAAUGGGCGGAAGCGUGUUGCAGCAAUGCUGCGUGCGGGAUGCUGGCUUUCGGGUGGUAAACAGCUGUGGCAGGUGCCGAAGCGUGAGUGACGGUAAUGGGUAAAGAAGCACCGGCUAACUACGUG